ACACAUGCAGUCGAGGGGUAACAGAUCUUCGGAUGCUGACGACCGGCGAACGGGUGAGUAACACGUAUGCAACUUACCCAUAACUCGGGAAUAGCCCAAAGAAAUUUGGAUUAAUACCCAAUAAUACAGGCGUACCGCAUGGUAUUCUUCGUUAAAGAAUAAUCGGUUAUGGAUAGGCAUGCGUUCUAUUAGGUAGUUGGUGAGGUAACGGCUCACCAAGCCGACGAUGGAUAGGGGAACUGAGAGGUUGUCCCCCCACACUGGUACUGAGACACGGACCAGACUCCUACGGGAGGCAGCAGUGAGGAAUAUUGGUCAAUGGACGAAAGUCUGAACCAGCCAAAUCGCGUGAAGGAAGAAGGUAUUAUGUAUCGUAAACUUCUUUUGUAAGAGAGUAAAGUGCACUACGUGUAGUGUAUUGCAAGUACCUUACGAAUAAGCAUCGGCUAAUUCCGUGCCAGCAGCCGCGGUAAUACGGAAGAUGCAAGUGUUAUCCGGAUUUAUUGGGUUUAAAGGGUGCGUAGGUGGUCUAAUAAGUCAGUGGUGAAAUCUCUUUGCUUAACAAGGAAAUUGCCAUUGAAACUGUUAGACUUGAGAAUGGACGAGGUAGGCGGAAUUCGUAGUGUAGCGGUGAAAUGCAUAGAUAUUACGAAGAACUCCAAUAGUGUAGACUGCUUACCAGACCAUAUCUGACACUAAGGCACGAAAGUGUGGGUAUCAAACAGGAUUAGAUACCCUGGUAGUCCACACAGUAAACGAUGAAUACUAACUGUUUGCGAUAUACAGCAAGUGGUCGAGCGAAAGCGUUAAGUAUUCCACCUGGGAAGUAUGCCGGCAACGGUGAAACUCAAGGAAUUGACGGGGGCCCGCACAAGCGGAGGAACAUGUGGUUUAAUUCGAUAAUACGCGAGGAACCUUACCCGGGCUCGAACGAUAUUGAAUACAUCCGAUAGAUGUAGCUAGCAUCAGCAAAUACCGAGGUGCUGAUGGUUGUCGCAGCUCUGGCGGGGAGUGGCGACUGAGUGGCUA
rnacentral:rRNA from 1 species